CAGUUUUGGUGUCUAUCUCUUUUGAGGUAGCCUUAAAAGGGAAUUCAGUGCAAUGCUGAAGCUGUUCCCGCAACUGUAAGCUGUCGUUAAGACGUAUCGAGUACCACUGUCCGCCUUCGGCGGAUGGGAAGGAGAUGCCUCGAGCAAGCCAGGAGACCUGCCAAAACACA
rnacentral:ncRNA from 1 species